rnacentral:sRNA from 1 species
AUCGAUCUUCACUGCAGGACACAAAUGAUGAUCCUUGACAUUUAGCUUUUAUAUACCGUCUUCCUCCGAUCGCGGUCACCGCGCUUUUACGGAAGGGACUAUCAUAUCGCGACUUGUCAGCAGUGAAUAACUGAAGAAGUGACCAUGAACAGGUUGGAAGGAGGAAAGCCUUUCGCUAUUACCCCACGCAAAACUAAGUCGUUGACACACAUCCAUCAUCAUAUUCCUUGUCCGACUCUUCUGUACAGCUUAUAACUAUUUCUACAUAAUUCUGCGUCUUAAUUUCAACAAAUACGGGCUAAAUUACAAAUAUCUAUCACAUGGUAAAUUCGAAGAGCCCAAGAUGAAGAACCUUUUUCAAUUUUAUGAGCGAGUAUUCUGCCCUCCUGCCUCUCUUUCUCUUUCUCUUUCUCGCUCAGCAGCUGUUACCAAUGCCGCAAUCCCAGUAAUAUGGUCCCCUUCUCGCGUUUCUCUCUCACUUAUGCUCCUUCUGGGUGAUCGAGGUUUUUCCCGCACAUAAGGGUGUUGUUUUGGGACAUAUCUGAAGCUGAUACUCUGGGAUAGAGGGUGACGGGGGCUUGAAGGCUCACGAUAACGAAGCUCUGAGGAGAUCGACGGGAGGGAGAAUGGCUCGUGCUCCUUAUCACUUCCGCGGUCUGAUAAUGCCGAUGCAACAGAGGGAAGAUGGUGCGGAGGAGAAGGCGAACGGCCAUAAUAGUUGGAGUAGACACUCGCACCAGAUGUUGCGCGAGGCCGGAGAGGUGGUAAGGUAGGAAGGUUGAAGCGAGAUGUACGACUGAAGUUGGGAGUGGUAACAGGAAUUGUCGCCGUUGAUGUAGGUGAAUUAGCUGCAGCAGAUUCCAAAGAAAUCCUGUCCGGAGGCGACGCUUGGUACAAUCCCAAACUUGAUGUUGCCAAGAAAGGACGGUCGGGAUGCGAAGACUGUGAAUAACGAUAUUUUUGUUGUGGUACAACAGGGGAUACUGGCAGUAUAUAAAAUCCACGCCUGAGGACGUCAUGUCGUUCGACGCCCCAUUCCCGAGCCAUUUCCGACCACCAAUGGUUGAGACGCUCCUCGGUCAGCUGAUGUUUUACGUCUCUGACAAGAAGGUCCGAUUUCUCAAGGUCAUCGCAACCUCUGCAUAGAGAAUGGAUACUUACAGCUAAACCCUUCGCGACCGGUCUGAUUGAUGGCGUCCAUAAUGACGAUCAGAUUUUCGAUUGCUUGACUUUGCCUUCUAGCCGUGAACACGCCGUCGCUGACUGAUGCCACAGCUGCUUGAAGGUAAAACAUCCCACACUCGGCGACAGCAUGCAUGUAGGCAUACAUCCAUCCUGACGCCUUGAUUUCGGCCACUGAAGAUGACAGUUUGGAGACGGCCAUGGUCAGGUUUGGCUCGUUGAAGUGCAUGUGCGAGGGUAAGGCCAUCGCCCAGGCCUUGAGAGCGGCUUCAAGUCUUGCAGCAAGAGUCUGUUUGGAGUCACCAGCAUUGGGAUCUGUGGCAAGAGACAUAAUGUCUGCCAAUAUGGAAAGCUAAGAGAUGAACACCGUCUUCACCGAGCCAAUUCCCCGUGCCCGCGACCAAGCCAUCCCUUCUGCCGGGCUCUCUCCCGCCGAUGCCCCCACCACCCCAUCUGGCCCAAUGGGCUUCUGUCCCUGGUAAAGGAAUUGCUCCCAGAUCUGCCUCUCCGAAUUUCCUUGGUCUACCAUUGGAAGCCGCGCACAAGUCAUGCAAUACAAAGGCCCAGAAUGUGCGGGUGCGGCAUUCCAUGUGAGUAGUAUACUCUAUGGGAUUCGCUCCUGUAGGCGCGGCUGGCGGUUGUAUAUAAGCCGCUGAUGAUGGACGAAGAAUAUCGACUCCAGCAUCAAGAUAGAAAAGACCAAGCUUAGGUUCAUGGAGACAAGUGAAGUAGACGCUCAACAGAUAGGCUGCUUGAGCUAAUUCGGUCUCUUGCCAUGACCCUCUAUCGGCCCGGCGAGUCUCUUCACUCCAUGCGUUGCGCUGUUGGAUCAAGUUUUCCGCGCUACGAUGAGCACGGAGUGCGAAGAGUUCACCUCGCAAAUGGGAGGGGUGAUUUGGGGGAAAUGUUUGCAGAAAAAACGGGUUUUCGCAUAGUCGGGCAGCAAACGCGUACAUGGAAUCGAGCAAGAUGGGCGAGACCCGAUUGAGGUAAAGGCGAUAAUUGAAAGUUGUAUAUAAGCACUUAACUUGUUCAACCCCACUCACUGUCAACAAGCUCAGCGCCCAGUGAGACGUCCAUGUCUACAACCUGGAGCGGACCAAUGGAUGGCUUUCGGUUGGCUUCGGAUUCAGGGUCCAUUUGUCCAUCUCCAAGCGACUGAUUGCUUUCUCCACUUGCUCGCCUAUCCUCUUGACUGGCGAUAUCACUGCCAUCGGCACUGGUAGCUUUGCAGUCGUCUUUGCCCUUGCUCGAAGUGUUGGUAGAAGGGUCGCGGGUCCGCGGCGGCGGAAUGGGUUCCCCUUGCGCAUUGAGGUAUUGACAUGGUCGAUUGGAAAACUCGCAGUUGGAACAAGGGGCAAAACCAUCGCACCUUCUCUUGUUUUUCUGAUGAUGGAAUCCAGUUUAGCUGAAUAAGGUUGACCACUAUAGUAAAACAACAAAACAACUUACAUGACAGGCACUACACGCCUUGGCUAAUCUCUUCCUUUUUCUUCCCUUGGUGGUCAACUCUUCUUUGUCCACAUUUUCUUCUUUACCCCUUUUAGUGCUGAAUUUUGGGCUUGCCUUCUCUUCUGUGGGAGUACCUAGUAUGAGAUUGGAGUUCGUCAUCGGUCCUACUGAACUCAGUGAAGUGCGAAAGGGCGGUGGAUGGGGCCUGUUACUAGAGCAGUGGAAUGACUCUCUCCUCGGGAGAAGAGGAGAGGGGUGAUAGCGUUGAGAUGAAGGUUGUAACCCUCCUUCUUGAGACUGAUCGGCAGGAGCGUCCUUGAGAGGAACGGAGGGAAGGUUCAUGGAUGAAGGGGAGGGAUAAGCUGAAAGGGCUGGAGUGACUGGAUACAAACUCGUCGCAGAAGGAACCGAAGUAAUUAAUGGUUGAGUUUUGCUU